GACGAACGCUGGCGGCGUGCUUAACACAUGCAAGUCGAGCGGAGCGGCGAACGGGUGAGUAACGCGUGAGUAACUGCCCCCCUCUCUGGGAUAACAGUUGGAAACGGCUGCUAAUACCGGAUAGUGGGGGAUGACUCGCGUCCUAUCAGAUUGUUGGUGGGGUAGUGGCCUACCAAGGCGACGACGGGUAGCCGGCCUGAGAGGGCGACCGGCCACAUUGGGCUGAGAUACGGCCCAAACUCCGACGGGAGGCAGCAGUGGGGAAUAUUGCACAAUGGGGGAAACCCUGAUCCACCAUCCCGCGUGUGCGAUGAAGGCCUUCGGGUUGUAAAGCACUUUUGGCAGGAAAGGUUAAUACCGCGCGAAACUGACGGUACCUGCAGAAUAAGCACCGGCUAACUACGUGCCAGCAGCCGCGGUAAUUC
rnacentral:rRNA from 1 species